rnacentral:rRNA from 1 species
UAACUGCGAGUGAAGCGGGAAAAGCUCAAAUUUAAAAUCUGGCGGUCUCUGGCCGUCCGAGUUGUAAUCUAGAGAAGUAAUGCCCGCGCUGGACCGUGUACAAGUCUCCUGGAAUGGAGCGUCAUAGAGGGUGAGAAUCCCGUCUCUGACACGGACUACCAGGGCUUUGUGGUAUGCUCUCAAAGAGUCGAGUUGUUUGGGAAUGCAGCUCAAAAUGGGUGGUAAAUUCCAUCUAAAGCUAAAUAUUGGCGAGAGACCGAUAGCGAACAAGUACCGUGAGGGAAAGAUGAAAAGAACUUUGGAAAGAGAGUUAAACAGUACGUGAAAUUGCUGAAAGGGAAACGCUUGAAGUCAGUCGCGUUGGCCAGGGAUCAGCCUCGCUCUUGCGUGGUGUACUUCCUGGUUGACGGGUCAGCAUCAAUUCUGACCGCUGGAAAAAGGCCUGGGGAAUGUGGCAGCUUCGGCUGUGUUAUAGCCCCUGGUCACAUACGGCGGUUGGGAUUGAGGAACUCAGCACGCCGCAAGGCCGGGUUUCGACCACGUUCGUGCUUAGGAUGCUGGCAUAAUGGCUUUAAGCGACCCGUCUUGAAACACGGACCAAGGAGUCUAACAUGCCUGCGAGUGUUUGGGUGGAAAACCCGAGCGCGUAAUGAAAGUGAAAGUUGAGAUCCCUGUCGUGGGGAGCAUCGACGCCCGGACCAGAACUUUUGGGACGGAUCCGCGGUAGAGCAUGUAUGUUGGGACCCGAAAGAUGGUGAACUAUGCCUGAAUAGGGUGAAGCCAGAGGAAACUCUGGUGGAGGCUCGUAGCGAUUCUGACGUGCAAAUCGAUCGUCAAAUUUGGGUA